rnacentral:rRNA from 1 species
UACGUAGGGUGCGAGCGUUAAUCGGAAUUACUGGGCGUAAAGCGUGCGCAGGCGGUUCGCCAAGUCAGGUGUGAAAUCCCCGAGCUUAACCUGGGAAUUGCGCUUGAAACUAGCGGGCUAGAGUGUGGCAGAGGGGGGUGGAAUUCCACGUGUAGCAGUGAAAUGCGUAGAUAUGUGGAGGAACACCGAUGGCGAAGGCAACCCCCUGGGCCGACACUGACGCUGAGGCACGAAAGCGUGGGGAGCAAACAGG